CAUAUCCUGUAGGAAAUUAUAGGUUUUUCCUGCUCAAUGAAWUAAAUUGCCGCAGUACCUUGACUGUGCUAAGGUAGCAUAAUAAUUUGUCUUUUGAUUGAGGACUAGAAUGAAAGGAGAAUGGGGUAAUUGUCUUAUUAGGGUUAACAAAUUUUCUUUUAAAGUGAAAAUCCUUUAGAGGUUAUUAGACGAGAAGACCCUAAGAAUUUUUAUUAUUUUUGUUGGGGCGACAGAUUUACAAAUAACUAAAUCUAGAAUUAAACAUAACGAUUAAGAUUAAAUUACCUUAGGGAUAACAGCAUAAUAAUGUGUUUAUGACCUCGAUGUUGGAUUAGGAAAAGGUGGUUAAAAAUUAUUUUUGUUCUGUUCGAACCCUACGUGAUCU
rnacentral:rRNA from 1 species